UGAGUAACCUGCCCUUAACUCUGGGAUAAGCCUGGGAAACUGGGUCUAAUACCGGAUAUGACUCCUCAUCGCAUGGUGGGGGGUGGAAAGCUUUAUUGUGGUUUUGGAUGGACUCGCGGCCUAUCAGCUUGUUGGUGAGGUAAUGGCUUACCAAGGCGACGACGGGUAGCCGGCCUGAGAGGGUGACCGGCCACACUGGGACUGAGACACGGCCCAGACUCCUACGGGAGGCAGCAGUGGGGAAUAUUGCACAAUGGGCGCAAGCCUGAUGCAGCGACGCCGCGUGAGGGAUGACGGCCUUCGGGUUGUAAACCUCUUUCAGUAGGGAAGAAGCGAAAGUGACGGUACCUGCAGAAGAAGCGCCGGCUAACUACGUGCCAGCAGCCGCGGUAAUACGUAGGGCGCAAGCGUUAUCCGGAAUUAUUGGGCGUAAAGAGCUCGUAGGCGGUUUGUCGCGUCUGCCGUGAAAGUCCGGGGCUCAACUCCGGAUCUGCGGUGGGUACGGGCAGACUAGAGUGAUGUAGGGGAGACUGGAAUUCCUGGUGUAGCGGUGAAAUGCGCAGAUAUCAGGAGGAACACCGAUGGCGAAGGCAGGUCUCUGGGCAUUAACUGACGCUGAGGAGCGAAA
rnacentral:rRNA from 1 species